rnacentral:rRNA from 1 species
GAUGAACGCUGGCGGCGUGCCUAAUACAUGCAAGUCGAGCGAACACACGAGGAGCUUGUUCUUCUGACGUUAGCGGCGGACGGGUGAGUAACACGUGGAUCACCUUCUUCUUUGUCUGGGAUAACUUCGGGAGAAAGGUGAUACUAAUGGAUCAUAUAUUCAACCGCUUGGUUCAAUAGUGCUUGACGGUUUUGCCGUCUCUAAUAGCUGGAUUCGCGUCGCCUUAGUUAGUUGGUAAGGUAACGGCCUACCAAGGCAACGAUGCGUAGCCGACCUGAGAGGGUGAUCAGCCACACUGGAACUGAGACACGGUCCAGACUCCUACGGGAGGCAGCAGUGGGGAAUAUUGGACAAAGGGCGAAAGCCUGACGGAGCAAUACCGCGUGGGUGAAGAAGGUCUUCGGGUCGUAAAGCCCUUUUAUUGGGAAAGAAAAGAAGUAGGAUAAACCACCGAUGUCCUGACGGUACCUAAAGAGAAAGCAACGGCUAACUUCGUG